CGCUGGCGGCAGGCCUAACACAUGCAAGUCGAGCGGAUGAAGGGAGCUUGCUCCUGGAUUCAGCGGCGGACGGGUGAGUAAUGCCUAGGAAUCUGCCUGGUAGUGGGGGAUAACGUCCGGAAACGGGCGCUAAUACCGCAUACGUCCUGAGGGAGAAAGUGGGGGAUCUUCGGACCUCACGCUAUCAGAUGAGCCUAGGUCGGAUUAGCUAGUUGGUUGGGUAAAGGCCUACCAAGGCGACGAUCCGUAACUGGUCUGAGAGGAUGAUCAGUCACACUGGAACUGAGACACGGUCCAGACUCCUACGGGAGGCAGCAGUGGGGAAUAUUGGACAAUGGGCGAAAGCCUGAUCCAGCCAUGCCGCGUGUGUGAAGAAGGUCUUCGGAUUGUAAAGCACUUUAAGUUGGGAGGAAGGGCAGUAAGUUAAUACCUUGCUGUUUUGACGUUACCAACAGAAUAAGCACCGGCUAACUUCGUGCCAGCAGCCGCGGUAAUACGAAGGGUGCAAGCGUUAAUCGGAAUUACUGGGCGUAAAGCGCGCGUAGGUGGUUCAGCAAGUUGGAUGUGAAAUCCCCGGGCUCAACCUGGGAACUGCAUCCAAAACUACUGAGCUAGAGUACGGUAGAGGGUGGUGGAAUUUCCUGUGUAGCGGUGAAAUGCGUAGAUAUAGGAAGGAACACCAGUGGCGAAGGCGACCACCUGGACUGAUACUGACACUGAGGUGCGAAAGCGU
rnacentral:rRNA from 1 species